GGGGGGGGGGGGGGGGGGGCGGGGGGCGGGCGGGGGGGGGGGGGGGGGAGUGAGAGCGUGCGCUUACGGGUGGGGGGUGGCGGACGGGGGAGGAGUACAUCGGGAUCUAGUUUCUCGUGGGGGAUAAGGUAGGGAAACUGACGCUAAUACCGCAUGCGACCUACGGGUGAAAGCAGCGGGGCUUCGGGCCUGGCGCGAUUGGAGUGUGCGAUGUCGGAUGAGCUAGUCGGCGGGGUAAAGGCCCACUCAGGCGACGAUCCGUAGCUGGUCUGAGAGGAUGAUCAGCCACACUGGAACUGAGACACGGUCCAGACUCCUACGGGAGGCAGCAGUGGGGAAGAUUGGACAAUGGGCGCAAGCCUGAUCCAGCCAUACCGCGUGGGUGAAGAAGGCCUUCGGGUUGUAAAGCCCUUUUGUUGGGAAAGAAAAGCAGCAGGUUAAUACCCCGCUGUUCUGACGGUACCCAAAGAAUAAGCACCGGCUAACUUCGUG
rnacentral:rRNA from 1 species